CGCCUGACUAAUAGAACUUUUGGAACUCCAAGGUGCUAUAGAAAAGAAUUUGCCUCCAAUUGCAUGGGCUUUUCAAGUAGACCACAGCUGCCCAUGCUAAGAAGACCAGGAGACAACAGUGCCACCAAAGCCAAGGAGGAAGACAAUUUCAUAAAUGAGGGCAUAGCAAAUGGCACAAGAGGUCCAGUAAGGAAAAAACUUUGAUGUCUAAAGAAUCAGCUUGCAGCCACAUAAACGAGAGACUUCAUCAGCCC